rnacentral:rRNA from 1 species
GCGGACGGGUGAGUAAUGUCUGGGAAACUGCCUGAUGGAGGGGGAGUAACUACUGGAAACGGUAGCUAAUACCGCAUAACGUCGCAAGACCAAAGAGGGGGACCUUCGGGCCUCUUGCCAUCGGAUGUGCCCAGAUGGGAUUAGCUAGUAGGUGGGGUAACGGCUCACCUAGGCGACGAUCCCUAGCUGGUCUGAGAGGAUGACCAGCCACACUGGAACUGAGACACGGUCCAGACUCCUACGGGAGGCAGCAUG